rnacentral:rRNA from 1 species
GAUGAACGCUGGCGGCGUGCCUAAUACAUGCAAGUCGAGCGAACAGACGAGGAGCUUGCUCCUCUGACGUUAGCGGCGGACGGGUGAGUAACACGUGGAUAACCUACCUAUAAGACUGGGAUAACUUCGGGAUACCGGAGCUAAUACCGGAUAAUAUAUUGAACCGCAUGGUUCAAUAGUUAAAGACGGUUUUGCUGUCACUUAUAGAUGUAUCCGCGCCGCAUUAGCUAGUUGGUAAGGUAACGGCUUACCAAGGCAACGAUGCGUAGCCGACCUGAGAGGGUGAUCGGCCACACUGGAACUGAGACACGGUCCAGACUCCUACGGGAGGCAGCAGUAGGGAAUCUUCCGCAAUGGGCGAAAGCCUGACGGAGCAACGCCGCGUGAGUGAUGAAGGUCUUCGGAUCGUAAAACUCUGUUAUUAGGGAAGAACAAAUGUGUAAGUAACUAUGCACGUCUUGACGGUACCUAAUCAGAAAGCCACGGCUAACUACGUG